rnacentral:ncRNA from 13 species
GAGACUUUAGUUUAAUGGUAAAACAUAUGACUUUUAAUCAUUCUACUAUAGGUUCGAGUCCUAUAAGUCUUA